ACUGUGGCCUACAGAAGUUGGUGUCUGUUAGACAAUUAGCUAUUGAAACUAACAUUCAGAACAACCAUAACAAAGGGAAAACAUGGUAAUACAAAAAAUAAGAGGAUGCUGUUUCUUUGAUCUUAACCACUAAAUAAAUUUCCCAUCUGUCAUUACACAUAUUUUUUGAACUCUUGGAAGGUACUUUAGAUUAAAAAUGCCUAUUUGUACAUGUGUUUUGGUUGUGUCUCCUUCCUGGCUCAUUCAAAAAUCAUGCACUUAUAGCACACCUUUCAAGCACAUUAUUGAACAGCAAAGGCAUCAACUUGUUAAAGUUCAUUGUGUUUCAUUUUCUAGAUCAGCAAAAAGCUUUUGUGUUCCUAAAACACCAUCAGCUCCUCAGUCUGAAAAAUUUUGAGAAAACAAUACCGUUCGGAUAAUGAUCACUUCAUACAGUGGAAGACAACUACCAACUCCAAAGUAACACGAUAAAGAAAUUUUCAAAAACACUAUCAUUAGUGUAAUUAAAAAAAAAAUGAAUGGGAGCAGACAAACUUAAAAAUAUCCAAAUAACUUCUGACGCUUUCAAAACGUUAUUGCUUGCACAAUCACUCACACAUUCUGUAUGAGGAAGGUGGACGGGGAAGGAAGAGAGUGGAAGUUACUGUGUCACUUUGUCAAGCUGCAAAUAAUAAGAAUGGAUUGGAAAGGAUAUUAAAAGGAACCUCUCUUUCAAAAUAUUCUUCCUCACAAAAGUUAGCAGAAAGAGGAAGAAAAAAAUAGUAUCAUCCAACAUUUUUUUAAUCCAUUCUUUUCUUGAUUUCUUCCCUAUUCCCUGUUCUUUUCUUUCAUUGAAAGAAAGAGGGAAUAAUUUCCCUUCCCUUUCUUAUACUUGUCUUCUUCUUUCCUUCCUUUCGACCACAUAUACUGUAAGCAGAACCAAAAUGUUCUAUUCUUUACAGGCAUAAUGCAGGAUGCUCAUUGUUUCAUCCAUUUUCAUAUUGGUUCAACCACUGGAUUUGAACUUAAAUAACAAGCUUCCUUGUCCCCAUCUCUUUCAGACCCAUUUUCAUAAUUGAGCGUAUGAUUUGUCUGAAAUAUGUUCUUCUCUCUGCUUUAUAUAUAUACCAUAAAGCAGAGAGAAUAAAGAGUUGGGGACACAUUGCAAACCAAAACUAUAAAUUACCUCAGGUAUUUCUCUUAACACAG
rnacentral:misc_RNA from 1 species